rnacentral:rRNA from 1 species
UACGUAGGGGGCAAGCGUUGUCCGGAAUCAUUGGGCGUAAAGAGCGUGUAGGCGGCCAUACAGGUCCGUUGUGAAAACUCGAGGCUCAACCUCGAGACGUCGGCGGAAACCAUCUGGCUAGAGUCCGGAAGAGGAGAGUGGAAUUCCUGGUGUAGCGGUGAAAUGCGCAGAUAUCAGGAAGAACACCCGUGGCGAAGGCGGCUCUCUGGGACGGUACUGACGCUGAGACGCGAAAGCGUGGGGAGCGAACAGG